GGUUUUAUGGUGUAACAAUUAGCACUCUAGACUUUGGAUCCAACGACCUGAAUUCGAAUUUCAAUAGGACCU
rnacentral:tRNA from 1 species